rnacentral:rRNA from 1 species
AUUGAACGCUGGCGGCAGGCUUAUCACAUGCAAGUCGAGCGGGGAAAGGUAGCUUGCUACCUGACCUAGCGGCGGACGGGUGAGUAAUGCUUAGGAAUCUGCCUAUUAGUGGGGGACAACAUCUCGAAAGGGAUGCUAAUACCGCAUACGUCCUACGGGCGAAAGCAGGGUACCUUCGGGCCUUGCGCUAAUAGAUGAGCCUAAGUCGGAUUAGCUAGUUGGUGGGGUAAAGGCCUACCAAGGCGACGAUCUGUAGCGGGUCUGAGAGGAUGAUCCGCCACACUGGGACUGAGACACGGCCCAGACUCCUACGGGAGGCAGCAGUGGGGAAUAUUGGACAAUGGGGGGAACCCUGAUCCAGCUAUGCCGCGUGUGUGAAGAAGGCCUUUUGGUUGUAAAGCACUUUAAGCGAGGAGGAGGCUACCGAGAUUAAUACUCUUGGAUAGUGGACGUUACUCGCAGAAUAAGCACCGGCUAACUCUGUGCCAGCCGCCGCGGUAACAC